UCUCUCUCUUUGUUUUCUGUAGGUAAAUGUACUUGUGAAGCAGGAUGGUAUGGAAAACUUUGUGAACAACCUUGUUCACGUAACAGAUAUGGUUUAGGUUGCAAGUCAGUUUGUAAUUAUUGUGUCCUCAAUAAAAGUUUCUGUCAUCACGUCACUGGCCAAUGUGUGUGCUAUCCAGGCUUUGCUGGAGAAAAAUGCAAUAAAAUCUGUGAUGGUAACCAUUAUGGUGUUAACUGUGCUCAGAAGUGUUCUUGUGUUCAUGGUACCUGCUCACGUAUUGAUGGAUUCUGCACUUGUGAUGAGGAAUGGGCCGGUAAAAAGUGUGAUAAACAAAAAUGGCUAUGAGCUGAAAUUAACUGAAGAUGAAACAUUAGAAUAGGCUCACUAUAGUAGUAGUCUAGUGUAUUAAUAAUCUUCAAUAUAGCAGCAGUACUAUAUUAGUAACUCUAGCAUAGAAGUUUCAGAAAUUAGUAGCUUAUAUUAUUUUCACAGUAUUUAUAAAUGUACUAUUAUUUAUUUAUUUAUUUUAA